GACGGGGGAUGCAAGUGUUAUCCGGAAUCAUUGGGCGUAAAGCGUCUGUAGGUGGUUUACCAAGUCUGUUGUUAAAAAUCAGGGCUUAACCCUGAUCCGGCAACAGAAACUAGUAGGCUGGAGUACGGUAGGGGCAGAGGGAAUUCUCGGUGUAGUGGUGAAAUACGUAGAUAUCGAGAAGAACACCAAUAGCGAAAGCACUCUGCUGGGCCGACACUGACACUGAGAGACGAAAGCUAGGGGAGCGAAUGGG
rnacentral:rRNA from 1 species